rnacentral:rRNA from 1 species
GAGGGAAGAGCCCAAGAUUGAAAGCUGGCGUCUUCGGCGUCCGCAUUGUAAUCUCAAGAAGUGUUUUCCGCUUCGGACCAUGCCUAAGUCCCUUGGAAAAGGGCAUCAUAGAGGGUGAUAAUCCCGUACAUGGCAUGGAGCGCCCGAAGCUUUGUGAUACGCUUUCUAAGAGUCGAGUUGUUUGGGAAUGCAGCUCAAAAUGGGUGGUAAAUGCCAUCUAAGGCUAAAUAUUGGGGAGAGACCGAUAGCGAACAAGUACAGUGAUGGAAAGAUGAAAAGAACUUUGAAAAGAGAGUUAAACAGUACGUGAAAUUGCCAAAAGGGAAGGGUAGGAGGUCAGAGAUGCGGCCUGGGAUUCAGCCUUGCUUUUGCUUGGUGUUUUUCCCAGAUUGCAGGCCAACGUCGGUUUUGGGCACUGGAGAAGGGUAGGAGGAACGUGGCACCUCUCGGGGUGUGUUAUAGCCUCCUACUGGAUACAGCGACCGAGACCGAGGACAGCAGCGUACUCGCAAGAGCGGGCCUUCGGGCACCUUUACGCUUAGGGCGUUGGCAUAAUGGCCCUCUACCACCCGUCU